rnacentral:lncRNA from 1 species
GUGGGGUCUGUCAAGUCAAAAGACCAACACGUGUUUCAAUUCUGUAAAGGAAUGGGGUUGAUAGUUUUCUGUUAGCAGAAAUACUGAUGUCUAACAAGGGCGGAUGUUGGUGUUUCAUGCUAACAGCGCUACUGAAACGCCACUUCUGUUUCAGGCACACAGCGUACAGUCCCUUUGUGAACGUUCUUUCACUUCCCCUGACAUAUAUGACUGUCUGGCAAGGUUCAGUGAACACAAGUUUCUUACAAACUCGUGUCUGGGGAGCAUAAAGAAAACAGGUGGUGCCGAGUUGUGUCACGCAGGCUGACAUCUUCUCUUCUUCUUGUUGUGAGAGCAACCAGAAGCAAAGCUUUUCUUUAUUUCCUGGAAGGAGGUGGUUGGGUGUCCCUCCUGCCCCUGGCACCCACCUGUUCACCAUGGCUUUCUGCUCCCCUCGAUGCCAACAUCCCCCUGGAGUUUAAACACCGCCUCGCACCGAUGCAGCCAUAAUGAACACUUUGUAAUUUGGAACCUUAUGGGGGCAUUUUCCAGUGAAGUGGUGAACAGCACAAGUGUAAAUGUGAGCUGUGAGCCUUGGCAAGCUCCUGCUUUGUUUCCUGCUACUUCAGUUGUGCCUUCAGUUGAGCCUUUGGUCGGCCAGUUUGUGAUUGAGGUGUUCUCAGUGUGCAGAAGGAGUUGGAUGGACCUGAGGCAGUGAGGGUGGAAGGGAAAAGCCUUUAUGCCUUAAGAACAGGUUGCCAGAGCAAGGUCCCCAUUCAGGGAGGUACGGAAGCGGUGAAACUCAGAAUUGAAACUUUGUGUUGACUCUUCAGUACCAGAAAUAGAGUGAGAACGGCCCUACGUCACGCUGGUGGGUGGAGAAGUGCUGUGCCAGGGCUGAGGCUCAGGGCUGGGUGGCUGGCACUGCUCCUGCCUUCCCUCCUGCAAGUUCCGAUUCUUCUUUUGGAUCUGGAGCUGUAUUCUGUCCCUCCCUGUGGCUGUGCCUGACCUCCCAUGCCUUGCUAGUCUUUGAGAGGCUGCUGAAGCAACCCAUACUGGAGAAAGGACUUCAUUGUUGACGCUGAAUGACCUGGGGAUAAGAGGAAGUCGGCUGUUUAGAAGUGGUGUUUUCUAUUUCAGGAGGGUGUGUUGCGGUGAUUUUCACAUCUGUCUUUGCCAGGCUUCAUUUCCUCCUCGUGUCUCUGUCUAGAUUUGCUAUUCCUUGCUGCUGCAGUUCCUCUUACUGUUCUGUGAUGAGGAGGAGGGGCCGUGCAAUACCUCCCCUGCAUCUCGGGGUCAUGUUGUAAGCCUGCGUUCCUCCUCCUGUUGCUGUGCCCACUCCCAUCCUCCGGCUCAGGACUUCCUCAGGCUGAAGUCCUGUGCUUCCAUGGGACCUCAGGCAGUGGAUGAUGGGGGAAAUGCAGAGACCAAAACUCUUACAUUUGAGGGAGAAAAAAAGAGUCUAUGACAAACAACUGCUCUCCACGUUUGCAAAGAAAACCCAUUGGUUACAAGAGCAGGAUUCUUGCUUUAGAGCAGAACACGUGGCUGCCGGUGAAGCCCAGCAAAACCGUCAUCGCCUUUGGAUUUGUCUUCCCAACUGGUUUCAUUGGGACAUUUGGGCAGCUCGAUUCUUGCCUGUGUCAGCAAGUUUAAGGCAUGUCCUGCGUUAAACUUCCCUGACUGCCAGGGCUGGGGCUGGCUUAUUUUACCUCCCCAUUCCAGCAGGAAACAGGAUGCGGGGGAGCAGGGAGUAGUGCCACCAGGCAUGCAGGAAGAGCAGGCAGCAUUUCUCUUUGCACUUUAACCACGGUGGCUGUAGCUGCUCAGAGCCCUCAGCAGGAGCAGCCCUGGGUGUUUUGGGGCAGGAAAAGAGCCUGGAGGCGUCGUCAGCUCCUCCUGGGUGAGGUGGCCGCGCUCUGCAGGCGGUGUCGGUACUGUGCUCCCACUGCGUGCACCUUCAGGCUGCUUGCCCAAAGCCCCCCUCACUUCUUGCAGUCUCCCAAGCUAUUUUCAAGAGCUGCAAGGACUUCCAAAAGGGUUCUAUGGCAGAAAUGUUAGGAACGAGUGCAGCUCGAGGCUGUGAAAGCGUUCCUCAGUGCCUUACGCGGUGGAAGGGGUGGAGGUGGGCAGAGCACCUCGCUGUGCCCACGGAGGGUCUCAGCAGGAGGACGCAGCAGCUCCUUCAAGCUCAGAGGGGCUGAGGAGAUGCAGCACUGCUCCUGCCUGGCCACAGAGGACACAGAUUGUUCCCAAGCACACAAACAGGGCUGAGCUGGCUGCUCUCCGCUGGGGCUGUUCUGUAUGCUGUAUUUACGCCGCGCUUUACGUCAUUUCAUAUUUGGGUUGGCUUGAAUGUUGCUAGGUUUGUAUAUUAAUAAAGAG